rnacentral:rRNA from 1 species
AACGUAGGUACCGAGCGUUAUCCGGAUUUAUUGGGCGUAAAGAGCUCGUAGGCGGUCUGUCGCGUCGAUCGUGAAAACUUGGGGCUUAACCCUGAGCUUGCGGUCGAUACGGGCAUGACUGGAGUUCGGCAGGGGAGACUGGAAUUCCUGGUGUAGCGGUGAAAUGCGCAGAUAUCAGGAGGAACACCGGUGGCGAAGGCGGGUCUCUGGGCCGAUACUGACGCUGAGGAGCGAAAGCGUGGGGAGCGAACAGG